rnacentral:rRNA from 1 species
UACGUAGGAGGCGAGCGUUGUCCGGAGUUACUGGGCGUAAAGGGUGCGCAGGCGGCGGUUCGCGUGGAUAGAUGAAAUCUCCUGGCUUACCUGGGAGGAUGGUAUCCAGACGGGAUCGCUUGAGGGUCGGAGAGGGGCGUGGAAUUCCGGGUGGAGCGGUGAAAUGCGUAGAGAUCCGGAGGAACACCGACGGCGUAGGCAGCGCCC